rnacentral:misc_RNA from 1 species
UAUCCGUUCGGUUUCAAAGUUCGUGUUACACCGUCCCGCUGACACUCCUAAAAUGGCGAAUGCUGGCGACAAGAGGUUAGUGAAGUCCAAGAGUGGACUGAGGAUCGUUACCAUGAGGGACGACUAUGGCAGCCCUUUUCUUAUUCCAGAACCGAACUGGGUUCCAGACAACGAAUACGUACAUUGUAUGCAGUGCCAGGUGAGGUUUGCACUAAUGAAUCGACGGCACCAUUGUCGUCGGUGUGGCCGGUUGUUCUGUAGUCGGUGCUGUGAAAACAAAGUGGCGUUGCCUCGUAUGUGCUUUAUCGACCCCGUGCGCAUGUGCGGCAGCUGCACAAAGAUUACCAAACAGGAGAACGAUUUCUUUGACAAACACCUCAAAGUACUGCUGAAUGGCUGUGAGUUCUACGUGGUGGAUGACAUAAAUUCUGAACCUUCGGACAAUUCAACGAUAUUCUUCUGCAAACUGUCCACGGAUCAUCGAUAUUUGCUGUAUGAAAGUGAGACGCAGGUCCGAGACUCUCUCCUCCUCUGCAAAGUGGAUCGUGUCCAGGUUAUCACCGAACCAAGCAGCCCCAUCAUGGAAGAAGAAAAUGCUAAUGUGAGGGGUCUGCUGUUAACUUAUGACUCUGAAAGUGGGCAAACAUUUGUCAAAAUGAUUAUCCCAUCAUCGACCCAUAAGCAGGGAUUGAACUGGAUAAGUGCUAUGCAAAGGGCAUUCCGACUUCUGUAUGAGCAUCGCAAUCAGGACCAAUGAAGCUGAUCCGGCGUCUGCCACUCCGUCUGUGACCCUCCCUUCUGUCAUCGACGAUUGUCAUCACUCUUCAUGUUCCCUUCAUUUGCAAGAAACAACUGAAAUAAUUGUUCUUGUUGGGACGUUGCAGUGACAGACUGAGGCUCAGUGGGGCUCUAGGUAUGGUAUAUCCCUCUGGUGUUUUGAUUGUGGCAGUUAAACGACUUGAGUAUUACCAGAAGCACAUCACCACACGUACUCAGCAAGGACAUAACGACCACUUGGUAGAGAAACAUACGAGAAAUGUAUUCUAUGAUGUCUUUGUUAGAUAUGGAAACUGUUUUAGAAGCUGAAAAACUCAUUUGCUGUUCUGUACUGGUCUGGAGAUGUUAUAUGCAAACACGACACAGCCGAGGGGGUUUGUCUAAAUAAAUAAAAAGAUAUGUGUAGAAAAUUUA